ACUCCUACGGGAGGCAGCAGUGGGGAAUUUUGGACAAUGGGCGCAAGCCUGAUCCAGCCAUGCCGCGUGCAGGAUGAAGGCCUUCGGGUUGUAAACUGCUUUUGUGCGGAACGAAAAGACUCUGGUUAAUACCUGGGGUUUUUGACGGUACCGUAAGAAUAAGCACCGGCUAACUACGUGCCAGCAGCCGCGGUAAUACGUAGGGUGCAAGCGUUAAUCGGAAUUACUGGGCGUAAAGCGUGCGCAGGCGGUUAUAUAAGACAGAUGUGAAAUCCCCGGGCUCAACCUGGGAACUGGAUUUGUGACUGUAUAGCUAGAGUACGG
rnacentral:rRNA from 1 species